rnacentral:rRNA from 1 species
UACGGAGGGAGCUAGCGUUGUUCGGAAUUACUGGGCGUAAAGCGCGCGUAGGCGGCUUUGUAAGUUAGAGGUGAAAGCCCGGGGCUCAACCCCGGAAUUGCCUUUAAGACUGCAUCGCUUGAAUCCGGGAGAGGUGAGUGGAAUUCCGAGUGUAGAGGUGAAAUGCGUAGAGAUCGGGAGGAACAUCAGUGGCGAAGGCGGCCAUCUGGGACAACACUGACGCUGAGGCACGAAAGCGUGGGGAGCAAACAGG